CCUACGGGGGGCAGCAGUGAGGAAUCUUCGUCAAUGGACGCAAGUCUGAACCAGCCAUGCCGCGUGCAGGAUGACGGCCCUAUGAGCUGUAAACUGCUUUUGUACGAGGGUAAAUCCCGAUACGUGUCUCGGGUUGAAAGUAUCGUACGUAUAAGGAUCGGCUAACUCCGUGCCAGCAGCCGAGGUAAUACGGAGGAUCCGAGCGUUAGCCGGAUUUAUUGGGUUGAAAGGGUGCGUAGGCGGUUUGAUAAGUUAGAGGUGAAAUGCCGGGGCUCAACCCCGGAACUGCCUCGAAUACUGGUAGACUAGAGAACAGAUGCGGUAGGCGGAAUGUAAGGUGUAGCGGUGAAAUGCUUAGAGAUAAUACAGAACACCGAUGGCGAAGGCGGCUUACCGAUCUAUAUCUGACGCUGAGGUACGAAAGCGUGGGUAGCAAACAGGAUUAGAUACCCUAGUAGUC
rnacentral:rRNA from 1 species